UUAACUUAGAAGCAACAGCCAGCACCAGGCACCUCCAUGGUCGGUACUGCAGGGAACAUCCCAGAGUGCUACACUCCGGCCCGGUCGCUAUGGUAGCGCCCGUGAUGGAGCAUGGUCGUCGUCGACAGCGUUGAGCACAGCGUUUCAUCCUGUCAGUUGCUUGGGACUGCUGGAUGUAAACGGAUCUCAGGGGCCGGAGAACCAUCAAACCAGCCAAUCGCCCACCGCCGUCGAUGAUAGUGUGUUUGGGUUAAAUUUUGAACCGUUUUGUCAACUGUUGGUGGGGCCACAAUUGUUGAUAACGAAGUGCAAUGGUACAUUAAGCUAAGCGAAGGGAAGUGAUAGUGAGGAGGAAAGCGGCGGAUGGUAGUUGUCUUGCGAAGAAGCGGGCAACGGACGCUCCAAGAGACGUCGUGGAAAGGCAGCGGCCGCUGGUGAUUAGCUGGUGUGAAAUUGCGUGUACAGUUACGAUCGAGCAUGUUGUAGGUGUAUGGCAAUAACGAACCUCGAGACGCAACUCGAGCAUCGUCCCAGCCGCUGGGCCGGCGGCAGGUGAGCCAGACUGACUGGCUGUUGAAUAAAUAAUUCGGCAAAGCUUUUACUGUGAAGCCAAGUGAAGGAAAGUGGAUAAUUGAAUGUGCAAGCAUUAAUCUGCAGCGCGCUGCUCAUCGGGGUAAUUGAAAUUGCGGCAAGUGUUUCCGAGAUUUCGCGGGCGCGUGAGCUUGGCCAAGAUGAUGGUCCGGGAGGACGCGACGGAGCUGGUGCGCGUUGAUCUUGCGAAAGUUUGAAAUCCAACAGUCGAAGGUCGAAAUCGAGAAAAUAGCAUCAAAUUCGAUCCUGGUCAUCAAUGGCCAUAUUAAAUUAAGGCAGAAUUGAUCAAAUUUCGCACAUUACACGCGUCGUGUGUCUGUGUGAGUCGAACGGGAGCGCCUACUUCGGUCAGACGGGCAUGAUCGACGCUGGAGGCAGAGUAGGCGACGGACAGGAUGGACAGAUACAGUUCGAUAGGCUCGAGUUCGAAAGUCCGGAGGAUUUGAUGCGCCAUCUCUACUACACCUGCAUGCGGUCAAACACGAGCGAGCCACCGUGGACCACCGAUGGUAGUACGGUGUUUUGCCCGCGCCGGUUCGACGGAUGGUCCUGCUGGGAACCGACGCUGGCUGGGACGGUGGCGGAAAACUGGUGCCCAAAGUUUGUGCUAGGCUUUGAUCCACGGCGGCUCGCCUAUCGCACAUGUCAUGAGAAUGGGUCCUGGUUCGUACAUCCACACUCCGGACGGGAAUGGUCCAACUACACCAACUGUAUCGACACGGAAGAUAUGCAGCUUCGUCGGUUGGUAAACGACAUCUACAUCGGUGGAUACACGGUUUCGUUCUUAACGCUAAUUAUAUCACUGUGUAUUUUCCACAGCUUUCGGACGCUGAAAUGCACCCGCAUACGGAUACACAUCCAUUUGUUCACCUCCUUGGCGCUAAGCUGCCUGUUCUGGAUCGUCUGGUACAAGUUUGUCGUGGAGGAUCCGGAUGUCCUAAAUGCAAAUACGGGUUGGUGCGUCGGGCUGCACAUUCUGCUACACUACCUGAUGCUGGUUAAUUAUUUCUGGAUGUUCUGCGAAGGACUACACCUGCAUCUUGUGCUAGUUAUACUGCUGGAUGAACGAAAGCCAUGCCAUGUGGCUGCUGACGAUUCCGGUGUGCUUUUCGCUAGUGGCCUCACUGGUGUUUCUUAUCAACGUCGUCCGAGUGUUGCUGACGAAGCUAAGCUCCACCUCGCCCCAUCCAGCACCGCUCGGACUGCGGAAAGCGACGCGUGCCACCUUGAUUCUCAUUCCCCUGUUUGGUCUGCAGCACAUCCUGCUGCCGUUUCGGCCGGAGAAGGGCUGCUCGCUGGAACGGUACUAUCAGAUCGGGGCCGCCCUGCUGAUCAGCCUGCAAGGUUUGUGCGUUUCGUGCCUGUUCUGCUUCGCAAACCACGACGUCAUCUUUGCGGUGCAGUGCUACCUGAGCCGAUUUUUCCCCGACCUCGUGACGCACCCGUUUCUCGAGAGCAACGGUGGGCAGCCGGCCACGCAAAGCCGCGACGUGGUCGUAUGACUACUGAACGUGCGUCGCUCCACACCGACGAGCAUAAGCCCGCGCGAAGCGACUCCCCGCGAGCUGGCCCAGUGUGCCGUAUGAGCCGUGUGUCUGUUGCUGUGGUGUCGUUGUUGUCGGUGGAAAAGGAAAACCCCAGCGCCAGAGGAUCCAUUGGCUGCGGUCAAUGAAAUCGCCGUAGGUGUCCUUCGCGAUGGCGAGAUUUUGGGGGUUCAACUCACAUGAUGUAUGUGCUGCUAUGAAUCCGUUGGUGUUCGUAUUUCGGUGUUUCUGUGGUAAAUAAUAAUGUGACUGCGUGUACAAAAUGUAAUGUUCCUGAAGCACAAACACAAAUGUGUAGCGAGAAGGUGGUGGCACGGGAUCCACUACAUUUUGGGUGACUAAAAAUAUGUUUAACAAUACUAGCUGCAAGCGGAGCGUUGGCCGCAUUCAGGACUGCAUCCUGUAGCGCACAUCCGGCACCAGAAUCGGGUGAACGAAGAGAGAAAUAAAGAAUAUUUUUACUUGAGCAGCAGCGGCAAAAGGCGUUUUCGUUGCCGUUGACGGUGUUCAAAUGCAAACCGUGAGAACUUUCCAGGAAUCGCUUAUCGGUGCGGCGGGGACCGGAUCGCACGGGCCACGGAGAAAGGUAAAUCGAUUUCGUUCAAUUUUCAAACAGCAGGUACAAGCAAAAAUAAAAUAUUACCUAUCGACAUACGUACCAUUCCCGGCCGUGACUACAGGUAUGGGUUUGCAUUAGGAUGGCAAACGGAAACGGAUGGAAGACACGAGUAUGUGGCUCGAGACGAUCGGUUGUAGGAUUAAAUUUUCAUAAGAAACGUUUCGUACGGGCCAUGCAAAGCAAAGCGGCAACACUGGAGUUGAUUGCAUUGCGUACAGUGGGCAGUUGCGGUGUUAUGUGGUGCCAUUUGUUGACUUUUUAAUGAUUAACUUGUCUUUUCUUUAUUCAGUACACAACCUUUCGAACCAAAACUUACAAGUGAUAACAGGUGGGGGAUUGAAUUGAUAUGAAGAACCUUGACAUCGGCCCGUAAUCAGGUCGACAUGCCUGGAUGCUGGGUGGAUCGAAGUGCAGACAGUUGACGUGUAGAGGGCGCUGUUCCGUAUAACAAACUGUACGCGACAACCGUUAUACCAAACAGCCGAACAGGGAGUGACGUAAGUACAGUUGAACAGAUAGCUACAAGGUGCUUAUGAUUUACGUUGAUAUUCUAUUGUUGUAGUGAUUUACACCUUCAAUCUUAAGUUUAGUUGUCAGUAUAUCAAACAGGAGAUCAUUAAAAUAGCAUUAUCACACAGUUUGGGAGAAAAUCAUUUCAAUUACAUCUACCGCAACACCAAACUAAACCCCUGAUGAUGAUGGUGAUGCUAGAAUGGUUUGCGGAGGCUUCUUUGCUUGGAUUCAAGCGCCUGCUUCAAACUGAUCAAACUGACCAUCAGUUUAGAAUGGAGCGUACCAGAGGACACUUGGCUGUGGCCGUAGCGAUUGUGGCAAUACUGUUGAUUGAAUCCUCCAGACCGUCGUUGCUGCUCUCGAACCUGCACUUUACAGCACGCUGGAUGAGAGACCAACGACACCGCUGGAACGUUCUGGCACGGUGGUAUCCGUGGUUGUACGCGGCCGAUAAGCAACUGCCAGCAGCGAGUGGUGCCAACAUUUGUGCCAACAACGAAACAUUUGCCCUGUUCGAUAGGCCGUGUGGCAAAUCUUGCGGCACGUAUGGCCAGAUUUGCCCAUAUGUGCGACACAGCGGAUGUGUUUGCACACGGGGGCAUGUGCGGAACGAGAGCGGCCACUGCAUACACUACACGGAUUGUACGAAAAUGCUAGAUGACGUGGAGUUUUUGCAUUAAUGUGGGUGGAAUUGCACUGCAGGGAAUAAUGCUUCGAAUAGUUAUGUUUUAGUGUGUUGUCGAUACUAAAGCAGUGAUGCGUUCAACUGCAUCAGUCAGUAGGUAUGCUUAGAAGGGUGGUUUGUUAGGUAUCAUUCACUUCUGUUCAUCUGCUCCAGUUGAAGAAGUUUGUAUAAGUGACUAAGCUGGAGAAGCUGGCACUUGCACAUGUGUUUUAAAGCACCCGGCCAUUUCCCCUAAUAUUUGCGGUUCGUCGACGCCCAAGGGCAUGUGAAUGAAAUCUGUUGCGUUUCAGUAUUGCCAAAAUCGUAUAUAACGGCCCCAAAACAUGCCAACCAUAUUCAGUUCAGUCGAAAGGCUUCCAAGAAAACAAUCACCAUGAAACUGACUUACAUUUUCUACAUCUUCCUGGGCAUUAUGCUUAUCCUGAGCGUUGUUGACGCACAGCGCCCCGGCAGUUCCCGCUCGCCAGCUAGCCGCACUCCCAGGACGCGCAAGCCGACCCGUGUGUGGCCGAAGCGCACCCGCCGCACGAGACCGACCAAAACCGGUCGCCCGAGCGCUGCCCCAGUCACCUCGAAACCGGCCCUCGGUUAAAAUGCUGCCCAAAUCGACACUACAAUAGCUCUUCCCUUUUGAGAACAUGGAGAUAUAUAUUCUACCAAUUGCAAUGGAAUCAAGACGAUUGAAUAAAAUGGAUUAAAUACCAA